GUUUCAAACGGCUGCUUCACCCAUUUUCGGCCUUUUAGGGUUUCCUGAGUCUAUAUAAUGCUACACUGGUUCGCCGCAUUCCUCUAAAUUCACAACAAUGGAGGAGUCAUUCGACUUGGUACUUUCUCGAUCUGAGCUUAGCAUGCCGCUCUUCAGCGAGAAAAUCGUUCUUCUGUUCAGGGACGUAUAUAAUCGGCGACCACUCUCGUAAUCAUCAGAUAUACAUAUUUAAGGUUCAUGAAUCUAUCUGUAAUUCUGAGGUUUCACAAAUUGGUGGAAACACUUCCUUUUGGACUAAAAAUGGAUACGGUCAAGUGGUGAAAUGGCACAAGUAUUGUUGAGUCCUUGCGAAAAA